rnacentral:lncRNA from 1 species
AGUGUAGAUUCUCAAGUUAACCCUAGUACAGGUUCAAAUCUAGUUCAACCAGGAAUUAAUACUGUCACCGGAGGUAUUUUAUAUUACGAUCCAAANNNNNNNNUCAAGUUAACCCUAGUACAGGUUCAAAUCUAGUUCAACCAGGAAUUAACACUGUCACCGGAGGUAUUCUAUAUUACGAUCCAAAUAGAGAUCGUGAAGAAGUAGCAAAGAUGAUUACUGUUAUGUGCUUGCCUUAUACUUUUGCUUCUAAUCCUAAUUGGGUUCACUAUAUUAGAGGAGUUUUUAAUCCUACUUAUAAAGGUUGGCCUCGCACAAUAGUU